GCCUAGUUAGCUUAGUUGGUAGUGCGUCUGCCUUGUAAGCGCUAGGUCGCGGGUUCGAAUCCCGCCCGGGGCG
rnacentral:tRNA from 1 species